CGUCAAGCUCAGACAUUGAUUGUAUAACCACGGGACAAACACGUGGAGAUGAAUUAGCAAUCGACCCGUGCAAUCAUUCAACAAGAGAGUGCUCUUUCUUUAUUAUUAUUUUUUCUUGUUGAUCUAUUCCGUCGUCAUUUCAUCUUUCCUGUGCUCUUGGAUUGGAUCUCAGGUUCAUCAUACAUCCUGCAGGAAGGCUUCGGGAAGACGUAUCCAAAAUCAUUUGUAUUAAGGUAGAAUUUUCAUGGAUAUGGAUGACACCAGGUGGUUUCGAACGCAGCUUAAAGACCACAAUCUUGAUCUCUCCUCCACCUGGUCUGUUGCAAUUUCCUUGUAAAUUUGUUAUCCAUAUUUUAUUUAUAUGGUAUAUUGAUUUAAAGAGAAGGUUCAGUUUCGUGUUGAUUGGGGGUAAUUGGCAGCAGAUUUCGGAAGCUGCUGGAGGGGUGCUUUUAAAAGCUGCUGUGGACGGAAGAUUUAAUGAAUUUUUCGAUCUUUACAUUUGUUAUUCUUAACCUACAUAAUAAUAGUUUGAUUACUUGCAUAUUAUUCAUUUUUUAAAUUACAAUGUUUGUUAUCUCACACUUUGCUCAUCAUACAAUGCAUUUUUUUCAAAAAAAAAUUGUAUCAAAACAAUAGAUAAUUGACUAAUUGAACAUCUUCUAAAGUUCC
rnacentral:lncRNA from 1 species